GGCCGGCUGGCUCAAUGGUAGAGUGCUUGACUACGAAUCAAGAGGCUGCAGGGUAAGCAUUCAACCUAUACUUCCUUCCA
rnacentral:tRNA from 13 species